rnacentral:lncRNA from 1 species
UCGGCCUCCCAAAGUGCUGGGAGUACAGGCGUGAGCCACCAUGCCAGGCCGCCUGGCUUUUUUUUGUAGAGAUGGGAUCUCAUUAUGUUGCCCAGGCUGGUUUCAGACUCCUGAGCCCAAGCAAUCCACUCACCUCGGCUCUCCAAACAUCUGGGACCGCACCCAGGCAUGCACCACUGCACCCAGCCUAUUUCUUACUUUCUUUCUUUUUUUUUUUUUUUUGAGACACAGUCUUGCUCUUGUCACCCAGGCUAAAGUUCAAUGGCACGAUCUUGGCUCACUGCAACCUCCACCUCCCAGGUUCAAGCAAUUCUCCUGCCUCAGCCUCCCAAGUAGCUGGGAUUACAGGCGCCCACCACCAUGCCUGGCUAAUUUUUGUAUUUUUAGUAGAGACAGGGUUUCGCCUUGUUGGCCAGGCUGGUCUUGAACUCCUGACCUCAGGUGAUCUGCCCGCUUCAGCCUCCCAAAGUGCUGGGAUUACAGCUGUGAGCCACCGCACCUGGCCCUAUUUCUUACUUUCUAGUCCAUAUGUAUUUAUUUCCUUUUCUUGCCUUAUUCCAGUGCUGAAACUUCCAGUAGUAUAUUGAAUAAGGAUGAUGAGAGUGGGCACCCUUGCCCUUUUCUUAGUAUUAGAGGGAAAACAUUCAGUCUUACACCAUUGAAAGUGCAACCAGGCAUGGUGGCUCACACCUGUAAUCCCAGCACUUUGAGCGGCCAAGUUGGGCAGAUAACUUGAGGUGAGGAGUUCGAGACCAGCCUGGCCAACAUGGUGAAACACCAUCUCUACCAAAAAUACAAAAAAAAAAAAAAAAAUAGUCGAGUGUGCUGGCCUGCACCUGUAGUCCCAGCUACUCAGGAGGCUGAGGCAGGAGAAUCACCUGAACCUGAAAGGAGGAGGUUGCAGUAAGUGGAGAUGGUGCCACUGCAUUCCAGCCUGGGUGACAGAGCAACCCCUAUCUCAAAAACAAAAAAAUUUUUAAGGAAUGAUGUUAAAUGACAGAAGAUGAGAAAGACAGCAGAGUAAGUCUCUCCAGCCAUUAUCUCCCAGCAGAAACAUCCAUUUGAGCAACUAUCCACACACAAAAUUACUUUCACAAGAGCCAAAAAAAAAAAAAAAACUCGAACACACGAGUGAAGCUGGGAAGCGCCCUUGGACCACAAAGACAAGCAAAACCACGGUUGGAAGGUAAAGGGAUCAGUUCUCUGUGCUUGCAACAUGCCUCCCCUCAAGCCAUUAUGGCACCACACGUGGAAACUCCCCAUGGACCCAUGAUUUUUACACUGGAAAAACUGAGCUAGGGGUGGACAUACAGAUUCCCCAUCAUUCCGGGCCCCUCCACAAAAGACUCACUCCUGUAUUGGCCCAUAGAGAACACUGCAAGUACCUAAGGCCAGUUAAAGACAAAAAGAAGGGGUGGGGUUGGGCAGCCACUGCAAGGAAUUUGGCAGUGGCUCUCCAUCCCUGCCAGAGGAGAUGCUGCACCAAAGACACUGUUUACAGAAACCAUGCUGCAGGAAGCAUGGUCCACAGAUCCUCUGGCCUUGAGGGCCUGGCUGGUUCUCCACAGGGCCCAGGUGCCCUCUGUGGCUCUCCCACCUGCCCCAUCCAGGUCCGACAUUUCAUCAGCAGUGAAGCUAGUGCCAGACUCGCCUCUAACCUGGGCUUAGGGUACCCCCUAGUGUUGAAAUGGAAGACAACAGUCAGUCCACUCACAAUUUCUAAAUAAGCCCACUGAAAUAGAAUGGUCACAAACAAACUCAGGCUGUAAAGACCGUAAUAAACACCUAAUUCACCAAUGCAUAGAUAGAGACGCAGAUCUAGGAAUAAGAAUAGCCUAGGAACGUGCCUCGUCAAAUAGACAGAACAAAAUGCCAAUGAAUUAUCCUAAAAACAUGCAAAUGAAUGGUCUGGCAGGCAAAGAAUUCAAAACGGCUGUUUUAAGAAAACUCAGAGAACUUAAAGAAAACAUAGAGAAACAAUUCAGACGUUUGUCAGAGAAAUGUAACAGCGAAAGUAAAAUAAUAAGAAACAAACAGAAACCUUGAAGCUGAGAAGUACAAUAUGAAAUGAAAAAUGUGCCGGGCGCGGUGGCUCAUGCCUGUAAUCCCAGCACUCUGGGAGGCCGAGGCGGACGGAUCACGGGGUCAGGAGAUCGAGACCAUCCUGGAUAACACGGUGAAACCCCGUCUCUACUAAAAAUACAAAAAAUUAGCCGGGCGUGGUGGCGGGAGCCUGUAGUCCCAGCUACUCGGGAGGCUGAGGCAGGAGAAUGGCGUGAACCCGGGAGGCGGAGCUUGCAGUGAGCCGAGAUCGGGCCAUUGCACUCCAGCCUGGGCGACAAAGCAAGACUCCGUCUCAAAAAAAAAAAAAAAAAUGUGUCGGGCAUAGUGCUGCAUGACUAUAGUCUCAGUUAUUCAGGAGAAUGAAGUGAGAGGAUCACUUGAGUCCAGGAGUUUGAGACCAACCUGCUCAAUAUAGUGAGACCCCCGUCUCUGAAAAAAUAAAAAAUGUACUGUGUUCAUGGACUGGAAGAAUUAAUAUUGUUAAAAUGUCCAUACUAACCAUGAUGAACUACAAAUUCAACUCAGUCUCUAGCAAUAUUUCAAUGGCAUUCUUCACAGAAGUAGAAAUAUAGGCCAUUCGCAGUGGCUCGCGCCUGUAAUUUCAGCACUUUGGGAGGCCACAGUGGGUGGAUCACUUGAGGCCAGGAGUUAAACUACACUGACCAACCUGGCCAAUCCCAUCUGUACUAAAAUACAAAAAUUAGCCAGGCACGGUGGUGCAUGCCUGUAACCCCAGCUACUCAAGAGGGUGAGGCAAGAGAAUUGCUUGAACAUGGGAGGCCGAGUUUGUAGUGAGCCAAGAUGGCGCCACUGUACUCCACCCUGGGCAACACAGCAAGACUCUGUCUCAAAAAAAAGAAAAAAGAAAAAUGCUCCCAAUACUCUGGGAGGCCGAAGCAGGUGGAUUACCUGAUGUCAGGAGUUCGAGACCAGCCUGGCCAACAUGGUGAAACCCCAUUUCUACUAAAAACACAAAAAUGUGCUGGGUGUGGUGGUGUGCACCUAUAAUCCCAGCUACCUAGGAGGCUGAGGCUGGAGAAAUUUUUUAUUUCCUUAUUAAUUUCUUCAUUUACCCAUUGGUGGCUCAGUAGUAUGUUGUUUAAUUUCCAUGUGCUGGUGUGUUUUCUGGGAUUCCUCUCAUUAUUAAUUUCUAGUUUUAUACCCCUGUGGUAAGAAAAAUAUACUUACGCCCUGCCUGGUGGCUCACGCCUAUAAUCUCAACACUUUGGGAAGCCAAGAUGGGAAGAUCACUUGAGGCCAGGAGUUCAAGACCAGCCUGAACAACAUAGUGAGAUUCCAUCUCCACAAAAGUAAAAAAAAAAAUUAGCUGGGCAUUGUGGGGCACUCCUGUAACCCCAGCUAUCUGGGGGGCUGAGCGAGGAGGAUCAUUUGAGCCCAGGAGUUGGAGGCUGCAGUGAACUAUGAUCUCACCACUGCACUCCAGCCUGGGCAACAGAGUAAGACCCUAUCUCUUUUAAAAAAAGAAAAGAUACUUAAUAAGAUUCCUACUUUUUUGAAUUUAUUGAGACUUGGUUUGUGGCCUAAGAUAUAGUCUACUCUGGAGAAUGUUCCAUGUGCUGAUGGAAAGAAUAUCUAUUCUGCAGCAGUUGGGUGAAAUGUUCUGUAAAUAUCAGGCCUGUUUGGUCUAAAAUGUAGUUUAACUCCAAUGUUUCUUUGUUGAUUUUCUGUCUGGGUGAUCUGUCCAUUAUUGACAGUGGGGUGUCGAAGUCCCCAGCUAUUAUUGUAUUGCAGUCUAUCUCUCCCUUUAGAUCUAUUAAUGUUUGUUUUAUACACUUUGGUGCUCCAGUGUUGAGUACAUAAAUAUUUAUAAUUUUUAUAUCUUCUCACUACAUUGACCCCUUUAGCGUUAUAUAGUGACCUUCUUUCUCUCUUUUGAUAGUCUUUGGCUUGUAGUCUAUUUUAUCUGAUAUAAGUACAGUUUCUUAUGAUCUAGCAAUCCCACUACUGGGCAUUUAUCCAAAGGAAAGGAAAUUAUACUGAAGAGACAUCUACACCUUCAUGUUUAUUGCAGCACUAUUCACAAUAGCUAAGAUAAAAAAUCAACCUAGGUUUCCAACAACAGAUAAAUGGAUAAAGAAAAUGUGGUAUAUACAUAAACCAUGGAAUACAUUCAGCCUUAAAAAAAAAGAAUAAAAUCCUGUCUUUUGGAGCAACAUGGUGGAACUGGAGGACAUUAAGUAAAAUAAGCCAUGAACAGAAGGUAAAACCCCACAUGUUCUCAUUCAUACGUAGAAGCUUUAAAAAAAGUUGAUCUCAUAGAAGUAAAAAGUAGAACAGAGAAUACUAGAGGAUGGGAAGGGAGGAAUGGAAAGCAAUUUGUUAAAGGAUACAGAAUUAUAGCUGGAUAAGAGGAAUAAGUUCUAGUGCUCUAUACCACCGUAGGAUGACUAUAUUUAACAAUAAUAUAUUAUAUAGUUUCAAGUGGCUAGGAGGAUGUUGAACAUUCCCAACACAAAGAAAUGAUAAAUGCUUGAGAUGAUAGGUAUGCUGAUUGCCCUGAUCCAAUCACUAUAAAUUGUGUGUAUCAAAGCAUCACUAUGUACCCCAUGACUAUGUACAAUUGUUAUUUGUCAAUUAAAAAUAAAAUACAAUGUUUAAAAAAUAAAAAUAAGUAUUGCUACUCCUACACUUUUUUGGUUUCCACUUGCGUGGAAUUUUUUUUCCAUCCCUUCACUUUCAGUCUACGUGUGUCUUUAUAGGUGAAGUGGGCUUGUUGUAGGCAGUAUGUAGUUGGGUCUUGUUUCUUUAUCCCUUUAGCC